UACGUAGGGUGCUAGCGUUGUCCGGAUUUAUUGGGCGUAAAGAGCUCGUAGGCGGCUUGUCGCGUCGACUGUGAAAACCUGGGGCUUAACUCCGGGCCUGCAGCCGAUACGGGCAAGCUAGAGUUCGGUAGGGGCAGAGGGAAUUUCCGGUGGAGCGGUGAAAUGCAUUGAGAUCGGAAAGAACACCAACGGCGAAAGCACUCUGCUGGGCCGACACUGACACUGAGAGACGAAAGCUAGGGGAGCAAAUGGG
rnacentral:rRNA from 1 species